AAUGAACGUUGGCGGCGUGGAUUAGGCAUGCAAGUCGAGCGAGAAACCAAUUAGCUUGCUAAGAGGUGGACAGCGGCGAAAGGGAGAGUAACGCGUGGUUACGUGCCCUCGGGACCGGGAUAGUGUCGGGAAACUGGCAGUAAUACCGGAUAACAUCUUCGGAUCAAAUGGUGUGAUUCCGCCCGAGGAUCGGACCGCGUACUAUUAGCUUGUUGGCGGGGUAACGGCCCACCAAGGCUGCGAUGGUUACCGGGUGUGAGAGCAUGGCCCGGCUCACUGGGACUGAGACACUGCCCAGACAUCUACGGAUGGCUGCAGUCGAGAAUCUUCGGCAAUGGACGAAAGUCUGACCGAGCGACGCCGCGUGCGGGAUGAAGGCCCUCGGGUUGUAAACCGCUGUCAGUUGGGAGGAAAUCCAUAGGGGUUAUCCCUUAUGGUUGACCGAGCUUCAGAGGAAGGACGGGCUAAGUUCGUG
rnacentral:rRNA from 1 species